UACGGAGGGUGCAAGCGUUAAUCGGAAUUACUGGGCGUAAAGCGCGCGUAGGCGGCUAUUUAAGCGAGAUGUGAAAGCCCCGGGCUCAACCUGGGAAUGGCAUUUCGAACUGGGUAGCUAGAGUACAGAAGAGGAGUGUGGAAUUUCCAGUGUAGCGGUGAAAUGCGUAGAGAUUGGAAGGAACAUCAGUGGCGAAGGCGACACUCUGGUCUGAUACUGACGCUGAGGUGCGAAAGCGUGGGGAGCAAACAGG
rnacentral:rRNA from 1 species